UACGUAGGGGGGCAACGUUGUCCGGAUUCAUUGGGCGUAAAGAGCGUGUAGGCGGCCAGGUAGGUCGGUUGUGAAAACUGGAGGCUCAACCUUCAGAGGUCGACCGAAACCAUCUGGCUAGAGUCCGGGAGAGGAGAGUGGAAUUCCUGGUGUAGCGGUGAAAUGCGCAGAUAUCAGGAAGAACACCUAUGGCGAAGGCAGCACUCUGGGGACGGUACUGACGCUGAGACGCGAAAGCGUGGGGAGCGAACAGG
rnacentral:rRNA from 1 species